GAAUAUGCAGUUUGGUUGUGGCAUACUAUAUAGUAGAUAUGAAUGAUAUAAGAUGGUUAUACAGUAAAUAUACAGUAUUGUAACAGCUGAGCAUCGCGUGCAGUUUUAAAAUCAAAUUUUAGCGGUUUUGUCAUCGUCAUUCGUCAGCUCAUUCAGCUCGCGUUUGAGGAAAACUUCACACGCAAAAAUCUACCGACUUUUAAGUUCAAGAGGAGCUUUCACUCCACAAGGUCAUCGUAAGUCCCUACAACACCAGCUUAACCGAACAGUGCCAAAGCACCAUACUGUAGAAAACAGCAGCGCCUACAAAACCUGCUCAGAAGUGACAGAAAUCAUGAGAAACAUGGUUCCCGAGGUCCGUCUCUUCAGUCAAGUUGAGGCACUUCUGCGUUUGUUGCUCGUUGUUCCUGCUUCAUCUGCUGAAGCAGAGAAAAGCUUCAGUGCCUUGAGACGCCUGAAAACCUGGCUGCGCUCUUCAAUGUCACAAACCCGACUCAACAUUGUGGCUAUUUGUCAUGUUCACAGAGAGAGAAUGUAUAACUUGGAGAAGAAGAAACUGUGUCAAGAUUUUGUUUAAGUUACUUAUCGGCGCAUGCAUGUUUUUGGGUCAUUUUAGAAUCAGUAAUAGUUUAUUUUGUUUAAGUUACUUUAUUUGGACAAUGUACAUCGUUUAUUUCUGUAGCUAAACUGCAUUAGAUGUUUAUUUUAUGCAAAUAAACCUUAAACAUUU